rnacentral:rRNA from 1 species
UACGAGGGGGCGAGCGUGUUCGGAAUUAUUGGGCGUAAAGGGUGCGUAGGCGGUUCCGCAAGUCCUGUGUGAAAUCUUCGGGCUCAACUCGAAGUCUGCACGGGAAACUGCGGGGCUGAGUGUGGCAGAGGGGGGUGGAAUUCCGCGUGUAGCAGUGAAAUGCGUAGAGAUGCGGAGGAACACCGAUGCGAAGCACCCCCUGGGCUAACACUGACGCUCAGGCACGAAAAGCGUGGGGGAGCAAAACAGG